GACGAACGCUGGCGGCGUGCCUAAUACAUGCAAGUCGAACGCAGUGGGGACGGUUUAGUGACACGUGCGUAACCGCCCAUCAGAGGGGAGAACACUUGGAAACAGGUGCUAAACCGAUACUGAUGGAUCGACCCGCGGUGCAUUAGCUACUGGGUGAGGUAACGGCUCACCAAGUCCACGAUGCAUAGCGGGCCUUAGAGGGUGAUCAGCCACACUGGAACUGAGACACGGCCCAGACUCCUACGGGAGGCAGAAGUAGGGAAUAUUCGGCAAUGGACGAAAGUCUGAUGUAGCAAGGCCGCGUGAAUGAAGAAGGCUUUCGGGUCGUAAAGCUCUGUUGUUAGGGAGGCGUUAUCCAAACAGAAAGCCACGGCUAACUACGUGCCAGCAGCCGCGGUAAUUC
rnacentral:rRNA from 1 species